UUACUCUGGUUUCUCUUCAACUCACGAGAAAAUCUUUCGCCUUUUACUAAAGAUUUCCGUGGAGAGGAACAAUUUAAUGAGUCUAUAGACUAAUUUUUCUCAGCCCUACAUCAGUAGGGUA
rnacentral:snRNA from 1 species